GCUCCUUCCGUAGGGUGAACCUGCGGAAGGAUCAUUACUGAUUUGCUUAAUUGCACCACAUGUGUUUUUUAUUGAACAAAUUUCUUUGGUGGCGGGAGCAAUCCUACCGCCAGAGGUUAUAACUAAACCAAACUUUUUAUUUACAGUCAAACUUGAUUUAUUAUUACAAUAGUCAAAACUUUCAACAACGGAUCUCUUGGUUCUCGCAUCGAUGAAGAACGCAGCGAAAUGCGAUACGUAAUAUGAAUUGCAGAUAUUCGUGAAUCAUCGAAUCUUUGAACGCACAUUGCGCCCUUUGGUAUUCCAAAGGGCAUGCCUGUUUGAGCGUCAUUUCUCCCUCAAACCCCCGGGUUUGGUGUUGAGCAAUACGCUAGGUUUGUUUGAAAGAAUUUAACGUGGAAACUUAUUUUAAGCGACUUAGGUUUAUCCAAAAACGCUUAUUUUGCUAGUGGCCACCACAAUUUAUUUCAUAACUUGACCUCAAAUCAGUAGAUACUCACGG
rnacentral:rRNA from 1 species